rnacentral:rRNA from 1 species
AUUGAACGCUGGCGGCAUGCUUUACACAUGCAAGUCGAACGGUAACAGGCCGCAAGGUGCUGACGAGUGGCGAACGGGUGAGUAAUGCAUCGGAACGUGCCCAGUCGUGGGGGAUAACGCAGCGAAAGCUGCGCUAAUACCGCAUACGAUCUAUGGAUGAAAGCGGGGGACCGUAAGGCCUCGCGCGAUUGGAGCGGCCGAUGUCAGAUUAGGUAGUUGGUGGGGUAAAGGCCCACCAAGCCAACGAUCUGUAGCUGGUCUGAGAGGACGACCAGCCACACUGGGACUGAGGCACGGCCCAGACUCCGACGGGAGGCAGCAGUGGGGAAUUUUGGACAAUGGGCGCAAGCCUGAUCCAGCAAUGCCGCGUGCAGGAAGAAGGCCUUCGGGUUGUAAACUGCUUUUGUACGGAACGAAACGGUCUGGGUUAAUACCUCGGGCUAAUGACGGUACCGUAAGAAUAAGCACCGGCUAACUACGUGCCAGCAGCCGCAGUAAAAC